GGAACUUUUGCUCAUGAGCAAACAUCUCCUAUGGAAGAGCUGGGAAUAGAGAAACUGAGCAAAUGCUCACUGCUUUGUGCAAACAUCACAUAGCUCAGUGCUGCUGAGGAUGGAUGUCCCUUCCGGCAGCACCAGACCUGUUGUUACAGGGAAGUUUAGCAAUGCUGAGCCUGGACCUGGGUGGAAACCGAGGAUUAGUACUAACCCUGUGGCCAGCUGGCUGCGGCUGCAGCAGAAAUUGUCCUUUUGUGAAGGGGACAUUUGCAGCGGGUCGCACGCAAGCCAUAUGGGUGUGGAAGGCUGAUGGCUGCUGCAGUGGAAGACUCAGCUCCAUUUGCUCCUCACGCAUCCCAGGGACAGCUUGCAGGAUGGCUCUUUGCCGCUGCUCCUAAAAGGCAUCCUGGCCAAAAAUAAAAUGUACCGAGG
rnacentral:lncRNA from 1 species